UACGAAGGGGGCUAGCGUUGCUCGGAAUUACUGGGCGUAAAGGGCGCGUAGGCGGACAGUUUAGUCAGAGGUGAAAGCCCAGGGCUCAACCUUGGAACUGCCCUUGAUACUGGCUGUCUUGAGUUCGGGAGAGGUGAGUGGAAUGCCGAGUGUAAAGGUGAAAUUCGUAGAUAUUCGGCGGAACACCGGUGGCGAAGGCGGCAUCCUGGACCAAUAUUGACGCUGAGGAGCGAAAGCCAGGGGAGCAAACGGG
rnacentral:rRNA from 1 species